AAAUGAACGCGGAGGAUCCCUGAGGACUCGGGCUCGAGAGCGCUCUCGUUUGGAAAACCAGCCCAAGUCCAGCGCUCUCUGAAGAUUUCUCUUCUUCCUACUGAUUGUGGUGAGUGCUCAUGCCCUGACGUUUUCUUUAUUCACCCAACAGCUUUGGAUACCAGCGUUUCAGUGACUGAUGAUUAUUCUAGAUAUUUUAUAAUCUCUCUCUCUUUUUUUUCUUGUCUUCUUUAGGGCCACACCUGUGGCACAUGGAGGUUCCUAGGGUAGGGGUCCAAUCGGAGCUGUAGCCGCUGGCCUACACCACAGCCACAGCAAUGCGGGAUCUGAGCCUCAUCUGCGAGCUACACAACAGCUCAUGGCAACCCCAGAUCCUUAACCCACUGAGCGAGGCCAGGGACCGAACCCACAACCUCAUGGUUCCUAGUCGGAUUCGUUAAUUACUGAGCCAUGACGGGAACGCCUAUAAUUUCUCAUUUAAUUCAAGUUACUUAGGAGUGCAUUCUAUUAUUAUUAUUUUUUAUGGCUGCACCUAAAACACAUGGAAGUUCCCAGGCUAGGGGUCAAAUCGGAGCUGCAGCCCCCGGCCUACGCCAGAGCCACAGCAACACGGGAUCCGAGCCAUGUCUGCAACCUACACCACAGCUCACGGCAACGCCGGAUCGUUAACCCACUGAGCAAGGGCAGGGACUGAACCCGCAACCUCAUGGUUCCUAGUCGGAUUCGUUAACCACUGCGCCACGACGGGAACUCCCCAUGGUUUUUUAAUUAGCACCACUCCCCUGGUGCCCGGACUCACUGAAGUUCAGGUUCUUUGUGUCUCAGCACAGGAGGAAUUCAUCGAGAGGCAGAGCAAUAGACAAGAAAUAGGUUUACUCAGAGAGGAUGCUUCUGAGAGAUGCAAGCGGGCAGGCAAGGAAGCUCUGUCCUGAGGGUCAGGUGGCUACAUUUUUAUAAUCCAAGGAGAGUGGGGACGGGGAAAGACUGCUUUCUUUCUCGUUCUUCAGGCCAACGCCAGGCUUUCAUCCCUAGCCCCUUCACAUCCGGCGAGAGGAUAUUUGACCCUGUGAGGUCACCCGAGGUGCUUGUGCAGAUCGGCAGCAGGGUGGUGACAGGUGUGCGACAAUAUGUUGGAACCUCUCAGCUUUCCCUGUAAUGAGAGACUUCCGACUUUGGAACGUCGUCUUUCUCUUACUUUCCCGUCUUUGGUCCUAAGGACCAUUAUCUUCCUGAACUUGAAUGCGGGCUUCGUUUUUUUUCUUUCUCUCACUUAGUGACCUGAGCCGUGUCUCGUGCGUUUCUCUAUGGUUUUAUCGUUAAGCAUGCUGCUUCGUUCCAUGCAUGUUCUGAUGGCUUUCGUGAGUGGUUAUUAACCUACUGUGGUCUCCCGAAGUUCCCUAGGUUUCCCGCUCUGUCUGUGGUCUCCUCCUGGGACUCCUACAACGACCCGUGUAACUCUCCUCCUCCAUCCCUAUCAGUGGGAAGCCCGGAUUCUAGGGAGCCCAAUGCCAGCAGCCUUCCGUCAGGGUGCGCCUGGAGCCUUACCUUUUUUCUCCUAUAAAGCUUUCCCACGCCUCUGCCUGGCUUUCAUUAUCUGCCAAAACUCAAGGGAUGGUGUUGCCGAAACUCAGCCUCCACCCAUCGGUGCUGAAUAGAAACACAGAGUUUUGGGUAAAGGAGAAAAAGAUAGCUUUUAUUGCUUUGCCAGGCAGGGCAGGCCACAACGAGCUGAGGCCUUAUAGGCUGUGCCCUCCUUUGGGAGAGCACAGGAGAUGGUCUUAGAGUUUGGGGGCGGAAAAUAGAGCCGCAGAUGAGGAUCAGGGUAGGUGCACGCUUGCGGUCCUCACAGCGGGUGUUUCGUGGCCCCAGGACUGGGUCUGGUGCUCCUCCUUCUUUCUGGAGUGAAGAAUGCUUCAUCAGGUAGUUAACGUCUUUCAUUUGUUGGGGGUUCUGGUUCAGCGGAAGAACUCAAAGAUAUUGUUACGUAUUUUUCUUGAGGAGGGACCAGGACCCGCCCCGAGGCUGCACUCUUGUCUCUUGGCGGCUCCUCCCUGGUCUCUGCAUCCCCUCCCUUCCCUGAUGAGCAACUCUUUGAAGCUGCCCUUUGGAACUCAGGGAAGGUCACGGAGCUGGGAUGGAAAAGAAGGCAAGACUGGCGAAGUCCGGACGGCCCGCUGGUGAGUGGUGUGGAGCUGCUCACUGAGGGGCUCCGAAGUGGCCUGGAAGAUUUCCUGCCGCCCGAGAGUGGAGGAUCCACCGAAGCUGCGUGUGUCACUCUGUGACAGCGUCUGAAACAGAGCGCCCAUGUUAUAGGUGCUCAGUAAAUACGAACUGAUCGGAUGAGAACUCACAGGUCCCCUUGUCAUCUGCUCUGGUCUCUCUCUCUCUAUUCCUUCCUUAGGAAAUAGGGUAGUUCUGGAGCCUCCCAAACAGAGCAGAGGAGAUGACAUAAUAUAUAACAUAAAUAUAUACAAAAUGUCGUAUAUAUAAUACAAAGAACAAUCUUAUGUAAGAUGAUGUGACAGUUAUGUUUUGUAAAUUUUUCCAUAUGUAUUUAAGCUUUUUGUAUCCUAUAAAAUUCCAGAUUCACACAUAUUUAAUUUAAACAUUAGAAUUCAUUUCCUUGUACUUCUUUGCCCAGAAAGGAAUUUUAAAUUAUUUUGCUCUAUACCAGAACAAGCUAAUUUAGAAAAACACAGUGGAGGGAUUUCCUGUUGUGGCUCAGCGGGUUAAGAACCUGACACAGUGUCCCUGAGGACACAGGUUCGACCCCUGGCCUUGCUCAGUGGGCUAAGGAUCCAGCAUUGUCACAAGCUGUGGCAUAGGUCACAGAUGCAGCUCGGAUUCAACCCCUAGCUUGGGAACUUCUAUAUGCCACAGAUGUGGCCCUAAAAAGAAAAAGAAAAA
rnacentral:lncRNA from 1 species